rnacentral:rRNA from 1 species
CUUAACACAUGCAAGUCGAGGGGCAGCAUGGUCUUAGCUUGCUAAGGCCGAUGGCGACCGGCGCACGGGUGAGUAACACGUAUCCAACCUGCCGUCUACUCUUGGACAGCCUUCUGAAAGGAAGAUUAAUACAAGAUGGCAUCAUGAGUCCGCAUGUUCACAUGAUUAAAGGUAUUCCGGUAGACGAUGGGGAUGCGUUCCAUUAGAUAGUAGGCGGGGUAACGGCCCACCUAGUCUUCGAUGGAUAGGGGUUCUGAGAGGAAGGUCCCCCACAUUGGAACUGAGACACGGUCCAAACUCCUACGGGAGGCAGCAGUGAGGAAUAUUGGUCAAUGGGCGAGAGCCUGAACCAGCCAAGUAGCGUGAAGGAUGACUGCCCUAUGGGUUGUAAACUUCUUUUAUAAAGGAAUAAAGUCGGGUAUGCAUACCCGUUUGCAUGUACUUUAUGAAUAAGGAUCGGCUAACUCCGUGCCAGCAGCCGCGGUAAUACGGAGGAUCCGAGCGUUAUCCGGAUUUAUUGGGUUUAAAGGGAGCGUAGAUGGAUGUUUAAGUCAGUUGUGAAAGUUUGCGGCUCAACCGUAAAAUUGCAGUUGAUACUGGAUAUCUUGAGUGCAGUUGAGGCAGGCGGAAUUCGUGGUGUAGCGGUGAAAUGCUUAGAUAUCACGAAGAACUCCGAUUGCGAAGGCAGCCUGCUAAGCUGCAACUGACAUUGAGGCUCGAAAGUGUGGGUAUCAAACAGGAUUAGAUACCCCUGGUAGUCCACACGGUAAACGAUGAAUACUCGCUGUUUGCGAUAUACGGCAAGCGGCCAAGCGAAAGCGUUAAGUAUUCCACCUGGGGAGUACGCCGGCAACGGCGAAACUCAAAGGAAUUGACGGGGGCCCGCACAAGCGGAGGAACAUGUGGUUUAAUUCGAUGAUACGCGAGGAACCUUACCCGGGCUUAAAUUGCAGAUGAAUUACGGUGAAAGCCGUAAGCCGCAAGGCAUCUGUGAAGGUGCUGCAUGGUUGUCGUCAGCUCGUGCCGUGAGGUGUCGGCUUAAGUGCCAUAACGAGCGCAACCCUUGUUGUCAGUUACUAACAGGUUCCGCUGAGGACUCUGACAAGACUGCCAUCGUAAGAUGUGAGGAAGGUGGGGAUGACGUCAAAUCAGCACGGCCCUUACGUCCGGGGCUACACACGUGUUACAAUGGGGGGUACAGAGGGCCGCUACCACGCGAGUGGAUGCCAAUCCCAAAAACCUCUCUCAGUUCGGACUGGAGUCUGCAACCCGACUCCACGAAGCUGGAUUCGCUAGUAAUCGCGCAUCAGCCACGGCGCGGUGAAUACGUUCCCGGGCCUUGUACACACCGCCCGUCAAGCCAUGGGAGCCGGGGGUACCUGAAGUGCGUAACCGCGAGGAGCGCCCUAGGGUAAAACUGGUGACUGGGGCUAAGUCGUA